UAGGGAAUCUUCGGCAAUGGACGGAAGUCUGACCGAGCAACGCCGCGUGAGUGAAGAAGGUUUUCGGAUCGUAAAGCUCUGUUGUAAGAGAAGAACGAGUGUGAGAGUGGAAAGUUCACACUGUGACGGUAUCUUACCAGAAAGGGACGGCUAACUACGUGCCAGCAGCCGCGGUAAUACGUAGGUCCCGAGCGUUGUCCGGAUUUAUUGGGCGUAAAGCGAGCGCAGGCGGUUAGAUAAGUCUGAAGUUAAAGGCUGUGGCUUAACCAUAGUACGCUUUGGAAACUGUUUAACUUGAGUGCAAGAGGGGAGAGUGGAACUCCAUGUGUAGCGGUGAAAUGCGUAGAUAUAUGGAGGAACACCGGUGGCGAAAGCGGCUCUCUGGCUUGUAACUGACGCUGAGGCUCGAAAGCGUGGGGAGCAAACAGGAUUAGAUACCCUGGUAGUCCACGCCGUAAACGAUGAGUGCUAGGUGUUAGACCCUUUCCGGGGUUUAGUGCCGUAGCUAACGCAUUAAGCACUCCGCCUGGGGAGUACGACCGCAAGGUUG
rnacentral:rRNA from 1 species